UACGGGGGGAGCAAGCGUUGUUCGGAAUCACUGGGCGUAAAGGGCGUGUAGGCGGUUCGGUAAGUGGGAUGUGAAAUCCCUCGGCUCACCCGAGGACCUGCAUCCCAUACUGCUGAGCUUGAGUACAGGAGAGGGUGGGGGAAUUGACGGUGUAGCGGUGAAAUGCUUAGAUAUCGUCAAGAACACCUAUUGCGAAGGCAGCUAACUAAGCUUUAACUGACGCUGAGGCACGAAAGUGUGGGGAUCAAACAGG
rnacentral:rRNA from 1 species